UGCUUAGAAAUAACCAUUUUUGUAACUGUG
rnacentral:piRNA from 1 species